UACGAAGGGGGGCUAGCGUUGCUCGGAAUGACUGGGCGUAAAGGGCGCGUAGGCGGAUUGCUUUGUCGGGCGUGAAAUUCCGGGGCUUAACCUCGGGGGCUGCGUUCGAGACGGGUAGUCUUGAGUUCGGAAGAGGGUCGUGGAAUUCCCAGUGUAGAGGUGAAAUUCGUAGAUAUUGGGAAGAACACCGGUGGCGAAGGCGGCGACCUGGUCCGGGACUGACGCUGAGGCGCGAAAGCGUGGGGAGCAAACAGG
rnacentral:rRNA from 1 species